CCUUACCAAGGCUUGACAUACACCGGUAACGCCCAGAGAUGGUGCCCCUUUGUGGUCGGUGGUACAGGUGGUGCAUGGUUGUCGUCAGCUCGUGUCGUGAGAUGUUGGGUUAAGUCCCGCAACGAGCGCAACCCUCGUCCUAUGUUGCCAGCGGGUCAUGCCGGGGACUCGAUGGGAGACUGCCGGGGUCAACUCGGAGGAAGGUGGGAUGACGUCAAUCAUCAUGCCCCUUAUGUCUUGGGCUUCACGCAUGCUACAAUGGCCGGUACAAAGGGCUGCGAUACCGCGAGGUGGAGCGAAUCCCAGAAAGCCGGUCUCAGUUCGGAUUGGGGUCUGCAACUCGACCCCAUGAAGUCGGAGUCGCUAGUAAUCGCAGAUCAGCAACGCUGCGGUGAAUACGUUCCCGGGCCUU
rnacentral:rRNA from 1 species